rnacentral:tRNA from 1 species
UAGUAAGAAGCAAAAAAAUUGCAUUUAGUUUCGACCUAAAAGUUUAGUCUUUGACUCUACUAU